rnacentral:rRNA from 1 species
GAUGAACGCUAGCGGCAGGCUUAACACAUGCAAGUCGAGGGGCAGCGCGGGUAGCAAUACCUGGCGGCGACCGGCAAACGGGUGCGGAACACGUACAGAACCUACCUUUGUCUGGGGCAUAGCCCGAAGAAAUUCGGAUUAAAUCCCCAUAAUAUAACGUGAUGGCAUCAUUGAGUUAUUAAAAUUUAUUGGACAGAGAUGGCUGUGCGUCCCAUUAGCUAGUUGGUAGGGAACGGCCUACCAAGGCGACGAUGGGUAGCUGGUGUGAGAGCACGACCAGCCACACGGGCACUGAGACACGGGCCCGACUCCUACGGGAGGCAGCAGUGAGGAAUAUUGGUCAAUGGACGCAAGUCUGAACCAGCCAUGCCCGCGUGAAAGGAUGAAGGGCCUUCUGGGUUGUAAACUUCUUUUAUCUGGGAAGAAACCUCCGUAUUUCUAUUGGAGUUGACGGUACCAGAGGAAUAAGCACCGGCUAACUCCGUGCCAGCCGCCGCGGUAAU